rnacentral:rRNA from 2 species
GCUUGCUCCCGGAUGUUAGCGGCGGACGGGUGAGUAACACGUGGGUAACCUGCCUGUAAGACUGGGAUAACUCCGGGAAACCGGAGCUAAUACCGGAUAGUUCCUUGAACCGCAUGGUUCAAGGAUGAAAGACGGUUUCGGCUGUCACUUACAGAUGGACCCGCGGCGCAUUAGCUAGUUGGUGGGGUAAUGGCUCACCAAGGCGACGAUGCGUAGCCGACCUGAGAGGGUGAUCGGCCACACUGGGACUGAGACACGGCCCAGACUCCUACGGGAGGCAGCAGUAGGGAAUCUUCCGCAAUGGACGAAAGUCUGACGGAGCAACGCCGCGUGAGUGAUGAAGGUUUUCGGAUCGUAAAGCUCUGUUGUUAGGGAAGAACAAGUGCGAGAGUAACUGCUCGCACCUUGACGGUACCUAACCAGAAAGCCACGGCUAACUACGUGCCAGCAGCCGCGGUAAUACGUAGGUGGCAAGCGUUGUCCGGAAUUAUUGGGCGUAAAGGGCUCGCAGGCGGUUUCUUAAGUCUGAUGUGAAAGCCCCCGGCUCAACCGGGGAGGGUCAUUGGAAACUGGGAAACUUGAGUGCAGAAGAGGAGAGUGGAAUUCCACGUGUAGCGGUGAAAUGCGUAGAGAUGUGGAGGAACACCAGUGGCGAAGGCGACUCUCUGGUCUGUAACUGACGCUGAGGAGCGAAAGCGUGGGGAGCGAACAGGAUUAGAUACCCUGGUAGUCCACGCCGUAAACGAUGAGUGCUAAGUGUUAGGGGGUUUCCGCCCCUUAGUGCUGCAGCUAACGCAUUAAGCACUCCGCCUGGGGAGUACGGUCGCAAGACUGAAACUCAACGAAUUGACGGGGGCCCGCUCAACCGUGGAGCAUGUGGUUUAAUUCGAAGCAACGCGAGAACCUUACCAGGUCUUGACAUCCUCUGACACCCUAAAGAUAGGCUUUCCUUCGGGACAGAGUGACAGGUGGUGCAUGCUGUCGUCAGCUC